rnacentral:lncRNA from 1 species
AAAUGUCUAGCGCAUUUAGAGGGAAAAAGGACUAGAAUCGGUUUUGACUACAAUAAUUAAACAACUAUCAAAGGAUGAUCCAAAGCUCACUGAGGAUUGGUCGCUUGUGAGUAGUUGGAAGUAUGGUAUUCGAUGACAUUAUUAUGAAUAGAUAAGAUACUAUUAAGAAUGAAUUGUCAUGUGGCAAAUAUGGAAAUGUUUCCAUAUUUGGAGUUGGAUAUUAAGAAUCUAUGUAUAGAUUAGAAACUUUUAUGCAAGAAGGAUGUUCAAAGGAAUGUACUUUGAAUGAGAGACAUCAUAUCUAUAGAAUUGCUUCUGAUAGAGAAUGGCCAAGUCUUGAUGAUUUUGAGCUAUGAAUUUACGAAAGGAUCAUUGCAUAAAAUGUUAGAAUCUAGCAUAUUCUAUAAGUGGCAAGAAUUUGAUAUUCUUAUACUUGUGAUAAGGAUUGGGAGUUGUGAAAUGAGUAUGAUUGGAAAUGUGUUCAUUUGAUCUAUUUCACAAAGUAAGGACCGUAGGUAAACANCAAGAAUUUGAUAUUCUUAUACUUAUGAUAAGGAUUGGGAGUUGUGAAAUGAGUAUGAUUGGAAAUGUGUUCAUUUGAUCUAUUUCACAACGUAAGGACCGUAGGUAAACAUUGUGUGCAUGCUAAGAGCAUGGGACAAUUGUUGUUAUAAUUCAAGUAAGAAGUUGAUUACCCGAAACAACAAAUAAUGAGUAAUCAAUAUGGUGAUUAAAUAAAAUGUUUUAUUUAUACCC